AUCAGAAGUGCGAAUGCUGACAUGAGUAACGACAAAGGGGGUGAAAAACCUCCUCGCCGGAAGACCAAGGGUUCCUGUCCAACGUUAAUCGGGGCAGGGUGAGUCGACCCCUAAGGUGAGGCCGAAAGGCGUAAUCGAUGGGAAACGGGUUAAUAUUCCCGUACUUCUGACUAUUGCGAUGGGGGGACGGAGAAGGCUAGGUGGGCCAGGCGACGGUUGUCCUGGUUCAAGUGCGUAGGCUUGAGAGUUAGGUAAAUCCGGCUCUCUCUAAGGCUGAGACACGACGUCGAGCUGCUACGGCAGUGAAGUCAUUGAUGCCAUGCUUCCAGGAAAAGCCUCUAAGCUUCAGAUAGUCAGGAAUCGUACCCCAAACCGACACAGGUGGUCGGGUAGAGAAUACCAAGGCGCUUGAGAGAACUCGGGUGAAGGAACUAGGCAAAAUGGUACCGUAACUUCGGGAGAAGGUACGCUCUUGAUGGUGAAGUCCCUCGCGGAUGGAGCUGACGAGAGUCGCAGAUACCAGGUGGCUGCAACUGUUUAUUAAAAACACAGCACUGUGCAAAAUCGCAAGAUGACGUAUACGGUGUGACGCCUGCCCGGUGCCGGAAGGUUAAUUGAUGGGGUUAGCGCAAGCGAAGCUCUUGAUCGAAGCCCCGGUAAACGGCGGCCGUAACUAUAACGGUCCUAAGGUAGCGAAAUUCCUUGUCGGGUAAGUUCCGACCUGCACGAAUGGCGUAAUGAUGGCCACGCUGUCUCCACCCGAGACUCAGUGAAAUUGAAAUCGCUGUGAAGAUGCAGUGUACCCGCGGCUAGACGGAAAGACCCCGUGAACCUUUACUACAGCUUGGCACUGAACAUUGAACCUACAUGUGUAGGAUAGGUGGGAGGCUAUGAAGACGUGACGCCAGUUGCGUUGGAGCCGUCCUUGAAAUACCACCCUUGUAUGUUUGAUGUUCUAACUUAGACCCGUUAUCCGGGUUGAGGACAGUGCCUGGUGGGUAGUUUGACUGGGGCGGUCUCCUCCCAAAGAGUAACGGAGGAGCACGAAGGUGGGCUAAUCACGGUUGGACAUCGUGAGGUUAGUGCAAUGGCAUAAGCCCGCUUAACUGCGAGAAUGACGGUUCGAGCAGGUGCGAAAGCAGGUCAUAGUGAUCCGGUGGUUCUGUAUGGAAGGGCCAUCGCUCAACGGAUAAAAGGUACUCCGGGGAUAACAGGCUGAUACCGCCCAAGAGUUCAUAUCGACGGCGGUGUUUGGCACCUCGAUGUCGGCUCAUCACAUCCUGGGGCUGAAGUCGGUCCCAAGGGUAUGGCUGUUCGCCAUUUAAAGUGGUACGCGAGCUGGGUUUAGAACGUCGUGAGACAGUUCGGUCCCUAUCUGCCGUGGGCGUUGGAAGAUUGAAGGGGGCUGCUCCUAGUACGAGAGGACCGGAGUGGACGAACCUCUGGUGUUCGGGUUGUGUCGCCAGACGCAUUGCCCGGUAGCUAAGUUCGGAAUUGAUAAGCGCUGAAAGCAUCUAAGCGCGAAGCGAGCC
rnacentral:rRNA from 1 species